rnacentral:rRNA from 1 species
GACGAACGCUGGCGGCGUGCUCAACACACGCAAGUCGAACGAAGUGGCGAACGGGUGAGUAACGCGCAAUCCACCUGCCCUUCAGAGGGGGACAACAGUAGGAAACGACUGCUAAUACCGCAUACUGAAGGAGGGGAUUUCGUCUGAUUAGCUCGUUGGAGGGGUAACGGCCCACCAAGGCGAUGAUCAGUAGCCGGUCUGAGAGGAUGAACGGCCACAUUGGGACUGAGACACGGCCCAGACUCCUACGGGAAGCAGCAGUGGGGAAUCUUCCGCAAUGGACGAAAGUCUGACGGAGCAACGCCGCGUGAGUGAUGACGGCCUUCGGGUUGUGAAGCUCUGUUAAUCGGGACACGAUACCCCAAUGGACAGCCACGGCUAACUCCGUGGCAGCAGCCGCGGUAAUAC